GACGAACGCUGGCGGCGUGCUUAACACAUGCAAGUCGAACGGAAAGGCCUGCUUUCCCUUGUGGAUUGCGGGUACUCGAGUGGCGAACGGGUGAGUAACACGUGAGUGAUCUGCCCCCAACUUGGGUAUAAGCCUGGGAAACUGGGUCUAAUUCCCGAUAGGACUGCAGGGUGGUGCCUGUGGUGGAAAACGAUUUUCUAGUGGUUGGGGAUGAGCUCGCGGCCUAUCAGCUUGUUGGUGGGGUAAUGGCCUACCAAGGCGGCGACGGGUAGCCGGCCUGAGAGGGUGGACGGGCACAUUGGGACUGAGAUACGGCCCGGACUCCUACGGGAGGCAGCAGUGGGGAAUAUUGCACAAUGGGCGGAAGCCUGAUGCAGCGACGCCGCGUGGGGGAUGACGGCCUUCGGGUUGUAAACUCCUUUCGACCGCGAGGAAGCCACCUGGUUGGAAGGGUGGUGACGGUAGUGGUAGAAGAAGCACCGGCUAACUACGUG
rnacentral:rRNA from 1 species